rnacentral:misc_RNA from 1 species
GAAAUGCGAUAAGUAAUGUGAAUUGCAGAAUUCAGUGAAUCAUCGAAUCUUUGAACGCACAUUGCGCCCCUUGGUAUUCCGAGGGGCAUGCCUGUUCGAGCGUCAUUACACCACUCAAGCUAUGCUUGGUAUUGGGUGCCGUCCUUAGUUGGGCGCGCCUUAAAGACCUCGGUGAGGCCUCACCGGCUUUAGGCGUAGUAGAAUUUAUUCGAACGUCUGUCAAAGGAGAGGACUUCUGCCGACUGAAACCUUUUAUUUUUCUAGGUUGACCUCGGAUCAGGUAGGGAUACCCGCUGAACUUAAGC